GGCAGAGGGUGCAAACGUUGUUCGGAAUUACUGGGCGUAAAGCGCGUGUAGGCUGCUCUGCAAGUCGGAUGUGAAAGCCCUGGGCUCAACCUAGGAAGUGCACUCGAAACUGCAGAGCUUGAGUCCUGGAGAGGAAGGCGGAAUUCUCGGUGUAGAGGUGAAAUUCGUAGAUAUCGAGAGGAACACCGGUGGCGAAGGCGGCCUUCUGGACAGUGACUGACGCUGAGACGCGAAAGCGUGGGGAGCAAACAGG
rnacentral:rRNA from 1 species